UACGUAGGUGGCAAGCGUUGUCCGGAUUUACUGGGCGUAAAGAGCGCGCAGGCGGUCGUCCAAGUCGCGUGUGAAAGCCCCCGGCUCAACUGGGGAGGGUCACGCGAUACUGGUCGACUCGAAGGCAGGAGAGGGUAGUGGAAUUCCCGGUGUAGUGGUGAAAUGCGCAGAUAUCAGGAGGAACACCAGCGGCGAAGGCGGCGCUCUGGGCUGGAACUGACGCUGAGGAGCGAAAGCGUGGGGAGCGAACAGG
rnacentral:rRNA from 1 species